rnacentral:rRNA from 1 species
GACGAACGCUGGCGGCGUGCUUAACACAUGCAAGUCGAACGCUGAACCCGCUUCGGUGGGGGAUGAGUGGCGAACGGGUGAGUAGCACGUGGGCAACCUGCCCCCGGCUCUGGGAUAACUCCAAGCAAUUGGGGCUAAUACCGGAUGUGACCGCUGGCCGCAUGGUCUGGUGGUGGAAAGGGUUUCCGGCUGGGGAUGGGCCCGCGGCCUAUCAGCUUGUUGGUGGGGUAGUGGCCUACCAAGGCGACGACGGGUAGCCGGCCUGAGAGGGUGACCGGCCACACUGGGACUGAGACACGGCCCAGACUCCUACGGGAGGCAGCAGUGGGGAAUAUUGCGCAAUGGGCGGAAGCCUGACGCAGCGACGCCGCGUGGGGGAUGACGGCCUUCGGGUUGUAAACCUCUUUCAGCAGGGACGAAGCGCAAGUGACGGUACCUGCAGAAGAAGCACCGGCCAACUACGUG